GUGAGAGAAGGCAGAGGGAGAGGAUGUUUUGGAAUUCCUCCUGUACAGGAGGGAGAAAUGGAGGUCAUGUCCUGGAAAAGGAGGGCAUCUGGGAGUUUCAGCUCUUGCUGGAAUCAAGCAGGAUGAUGGUGGCUAAUACCCCAAGGGACAAGAUCAGAAUUCAAAAUGACCUGGAUGGAUUGAAGAGCUGGGCCAAGAUGAAUAAAAUGAACAGGGAUAAAGGUAAAGGAUCACACAGAUGAUGAAGGGGCUGGAACAACUCUGCUUACAGGCAAAGUUACACUACUUAGACCUUUCCAGAUGAACUGUGCAAAAAAAAAAAAUCUCCUCCUGACUUUUAUAUGUGUGUAUGGGUUUGUAUGGUUGUUGCUUUUAAUUAGUUUUUAUUUACUUAUUUAAUUUAUAUCCCAUAUUUCUCCCAGCAAGAAAUCCAAGGCUACUUAAAUCAAGAUUUGAUCAAGAUACAAUUAAAAACCUGAUACAGAAUUUUUUAAACAACAAAUUAUGUUUUUAAAAAUUCCAUAAUUUAUAACAGCAUGAAACCAUUUAAAGUUAUAAAUGCAGAGCGAGCCCAUGAGUGAAC